UACAGAGGGUGCAAGCGUUUGUUCGGAAUUACUGGGCGUAAAGCGCACGUAGGCGGCUUUGUAAGUUAGAGGUGAAAGCCCGGGGCUCAACUCCGGAAUUGCCUUUAAGACUGCAUCGCUAGAACGUCGGAGAGGUACGGUGGGAAUUCCGAGUGUAGAGGUGAAAUUCGUAGAUAUCGGGGAGGAACACCAGUGGCGAAGGCGGCCAUCUGGACAGUGACUGACGCUGAGACGCGAAAGCGUGGGUAGCAAACAGG
rnacentral:rRNA from 1 species